AAAGCCAUAUCUGGCAGUCGAACGAGAGACCUUCGGGUCUCUAGUGGCGAACGGGUGAGUAACACGUAGGGAACCUGCCCGCGCACCGGGAAUACGCUCUGGAAACGGAGAACAAAUCCCGAUGUACAGGAAGGAGGCAUCUUCUUUCUGUGAAACAUCCUCUAGGGGAUGGGGCGCGGAUGGACCUGCGGUGCAUUAGUUGGUUGGCGGGGUAAAGGCCCACCAAGACGAUGAUGCAUAGCCGGCCUGAGAGGGCGGACGGCCACAUUGGGACUGAGACACGGCCCAGACUCCUGCGGGAGGCAGCAGUAGGGAAUUUUCGUCAAUGGGCGCAAGCCUGAACGAGCGAUGCCGCGUGAGUGAAGAAGGCCUUCGGGUCGUAAAGCUCUGUUGCGGGGGAAAAAAGGCAGCAUCAGGAAAUGGGUGCUGACUGAUGGUGCCCCGCCAGAAAGUCACGGCUAACUACGUGCCAGCAGCCGCGGUAAUACGUAGGUGGCGAGCGUUAUCCGGAAUGAUUGGGCGUAAAGGGGGCCCAGGCGGCCUGGCAGUCCGGAAGGGAAACCCAGGACCUCACUUCUGGCUGGGUUUUGAAACUGGAAGAAUGGAAAACAAGAAAAGGGGGGGGAACUUCCUGGGGAACGGGUAAAUGGCUAAAAUAUAGGGAGAACCACCAUGGCGAAAGGGGGCGGCUGGGCUCGUGGUUAACCUGGAGGAACAAAACGGGGGGAACCAAAUAGAAUAAAAUACCUAAUAAGCCACGGCGGAAACCAAGGAGGACAAAUGGUUGGGGGUAAAACUUC
rnacentral:rRNA from 1 species